CAGAUAUGAAGCAGAUUCAUGAUCUUGUGGAGAGUCCAGACUAUAAACUGGAGACUUUGGGGUGGAAGUACUGAUAAACAGGAGGAUGAUCUGUGUCCUGAUGAUCCAGAGGCUGAAGCAGCAGCAGCUUGUGUGGACAGAGACUCUGACUGCAGAUAAAUGCUGAUGUUGAUGAAGAAGUGAGCAGCUCAGUCACAAACAUUCUUCUCCCAGUGAUGCAGCCAGUGUUCAGUUUCUCUCACUCAGCAGAUACAUGUGUUUGUGCUCCUGCUGCUCUAUGGAUUCCACUGAGUCAACAUCUAAAACUAUUUGGACUUUUCUGUUGGGUUUCAGUGGAGGUGUGUAUGUGCUGGAUGCUUGAACACGAUCAGCUGAUAGGUGUGUAUGUGCUAUGAUUGGUGUAUUCCUGCUGCGGCCGUAGAAAUAAAAUAGGAACAUGUCAGAUGGAAUCAGCCUCCAAUCAUCAUGUGAUGACUCUUCUGAAAGGAGAACUUCAUCUUUACAGACUCAUGUUGGACGUGUUCUGUUGUUUCCGUCUUAAAUGAAUUUAAUUUAAGGACUAAUGACACUUCUGAGGAAGAUUGGAGUCUCAGUCGAAACUAUCAAGCAGGUAAAGAAACAUCUCCUGCACUAUUAUAAAUAUUGAACAGGUCUAACCUUAAUUAUCCAUCACUCACUUCAAAAAGUGUAAAACUCAUUAAACCUCCUCCUGUAAUUUUUGUUCAAUUGACACCGAAUGUGCUUUUAAAAAUAUUCACACAUAAUCAGCUGGGUAAAAAAGGCCAACAGCAGAUCACCAUCAAAAAAUAUCAGGCCUAAUAUUUACAUGUAAGUCAGCAGCUUCUCAUGUUAAUGUCCUAACUUUAAUACCACCUUAAUAUAUUAAUACCACCUUAAAACUUUACAUGAUCAUCUUGUUCAAAGUGAACUGACUUUAUUUGUGGAGAUGAAGUGAUUCCCAGAGUGGAGGAGGAGACAGCGCCGUCUGGUGGCCUCUAGAGGAACUGCAGCUCAUCAACAUCUAUCAGAGUUCAUUCAGUGAAUCAGUGGGAAGCUUCCAGGAAAUAGUGGAAACCUGGGUCUCAAAAUUGAAACUUUUAUAGAAACUAUGGAAAGGAUAUUUACUAAAGGAAAAACAGCAGAUAUAUAAUGACAGAUGAAUUUGUGGAAGUCAUGUAUAGUCGAGGUCUUUUCUCAACAAUUAUGACUGAGGGACUGCAAAAUGCUUGUCAGAAAAAUAAAUACUCUUUAAUGGCAUUGUAUAAAGCGCAGAACAGAAGAGACAGAGAUUAAAUAUAAGAAAUAAAAAAACAAAUCUAAUGUUAUGAGGGAUUAUUAUAAUAAAAUAUUAGAGAAUAAUAAAAGCAAUUAAAAAAGUAUAUGGAAUAUUCUGAAUAAUAUUGUUAGAAAAAAACUUGUCAAUGUGGGGCCUAAACUGGCCAAGGAAAUGAAUAAGUCAGGGAUGAGAGGAGAAAAGAAUAAUGGAUCCAUCAACACAUAUGUGUAAUUUAUCAUUCAAAACAGGAAUAUUCUCAGAUAAAAAACAGUUGUAAAGGUUUUCCCAGUUUUCAGGGAAGGUGACGAGCAUAUUUUCACCCGUUAUAGACCUGUGUCCUUCUUUUGUCAAUUCUCAAAAAUAAUAGAAAAACUUUUUGUGUCAAGAUUAGACACCUUUGUUGUAAAAAAAAAAAGAUUUGAAUUUACAGUCAGUCUGGGUUUAGACCUGGAAGAUAAACUUCAGUGGCUUUAAUUGAGUUGGUGACACAACUGACCAUAAGUUAUUAGUUAAAAAACGGAGAAGUAUGGUGUCAGAGGGAUUGUAAAUUUGUAAAUUUGUUUUUGCAGAUGACGCGUAUAUUUUUUGUGCUGGGUAACACUUGCAGCAGCACAUGGAAGUGGUCACAAAAGAAAUGUAUACAUUAAAAUGUUGGUUUGACGUGGAUAAGUUAUCCUUAAACUCAAACACAACUAAAUUUGUUAUGUGGUAAAACUAAUGGAAAUAUACAAUUAGAAAUCAACAGAGUAGCAGUAGAGAGAGUAUAUGAAGUUUUUGGGGUGUUUCAAUUGACCAGAAAGCUGGAAGGUCCACAUUAUAUAUAUUAUUAUAUAUUGGAAUAAAUGCAGGAUCCCAAGUCAAACAACAUUACGUGCUCUUUACUGCACACUCACUUUUCCAGACCUGAUCUAUUGUGUUGAAAUAUGGGCCAACACAUACAAGAGCACUUUACAAACAAUAUGCACAUUACAGAAAAUAGCUGUAAGGAGAAUGAAUCAUGCCAAAUAUCUCCAUCACACUCAUCCUCUUUGUGUUAAAUCACUGAUUUUUAAAUGUAUGGACUCGGUUAAAGUUGGAACAUCAUUAGUUUUAUUUAAGGAAAAAAACAUGAUCCCUGAAAACAUUCAAAAAUCGUUCCAAACUAGAGAAGAUAUUUAUCAGUUAUGAGGAAAAUUAAAUCGUAAACAACCUGGAGUACAGCUCUUAAAAACAUGUGCUUAUCGGUUUGUGGAGUCACUCAAGAAAGUACUACGGCACUACUGUAAAACUUAAAAACAGAUACAAUAAAAACAUUCUUGAUAAUUAUAAAAAUUUAUUCUAAUCAACUUUUUUUAAAUGAACAAUUAUACAGUGUUCAUUAUGUUUUUGUUCAUCAUACUUCUCAAGAAGAUUUGACAUUAAAUUUAACUGAUGUUAUUGUGAAAAAGGUUCAGAAUCAUAGAAGAACUUUAGCUUCUUUGUCUCAAACUAUUUAUUUGUGAAAAAAGAUGAGAACAUGAUAUUGUUCUGUUGUUGUUUUUUUCCUUUAUGUUUGAGAUGAAUUUUAACAAUAAAACAUUCAUCUGUAUCUCA